AUGCCUAUCCAAGAAAUUUGUUACAUUUGUUGUUAUUUGGCAGUGAACAUGUUUUAUGUUGGUAUUCCUUUGACAUCCUGAAAGCUGAGACAUGGAUAGAAUAAAUAAGACAUUUGUGAAAGAAUUCAUUCUUCUGGGACUCUCUGGUUACCCUGAACUUGAAAUUAUUUUCUUUGCUCUAAUUUUAGUUAUGUACCUACUGAUUCUGAUUGGCAAUCAUGUUCUGAUCAUAGCAAGCAUCUUUGAUUCCCGUCUUCACACUCUCAUGUACUUCUUCCUGCACAACCUCUCUUUUCUGGAUAUCUGCUAUACAUCCUCCUCUGUUCCCUCAACUUUGGUGAGCUUAAUCUCAAAGAAAAGGAAUAUUUCCUUCUCUGGAUGUGCAGUGCAAAUGUUCUUAGGAUUUACAAUGGGGUCAGCAGAGUGUUUCUUCCUUGGCAUGAUGGCUUUUGACCGCUACGUGGCCAUCUGUAACCCGCUGAGAUACCCCAUCAUCAUGAGCAAGGUGGUGUAUGUACUGAUGGCUUCUGUGUCAUGGCUGUCUGGCAGAAUCAACUCAAUUGUGCAAACAUCUCUUGCCAUGAGAUUGCCUUUCUGUGGUAAUAAUAUUAUCAGUCAUUUCUUACGUGAGAUACUGGGUGUUCUCAAGCUAGCUUAUGCUGAUAUAUCCCUCAAUAUUGUUACCCUAGCAGUGUCAAAUAUGGCUUUCCUGGUUCUUCCCCAGCUGGCCAUUUAUUUUCUCCUAUAUGUUCAUCCUCUACACCACCUUGAGAAUGAACUCAGCCACAGGGAGACGCAAGGCCUUUUCCACCUGUUCAGUGCAUUUGAUGGUGGUAAUUAUGAUUUAUGGUACCAUCUUCUUUAUGUAUGCCAAACCCAAGUCUCAAGACUUCCUUGGACAAGACAAUUUGAAAGCUAGAGAAGGACUUGUUUCCAUGUUUUAUGGGGUAGUGACCCCAAUGCUAAAUCCUAUAAUCUAUAGCUUGAGAAACAAGGAUGUAAAAGCUGCUGUGAAAUAUUUGCUGAGUCAGAAAUCUGUUAACCAAUAA